UACGUAGGUGGCUAGCGUUGUCCGGAUUUACUGGGCGUAAAGCGCGCGCAGGCGGUCGUUCAAGUCGAGUGUGAAAGCCCCCGGCUCAACUGGGGAGGGUCACUCGAUACUGAUCGACUUGAAGGCAGAAGAGGGUCGCGGAAUUCCCGGUGUAGAGGUGAAAUUCGUAGAUAUCGGGAGGAACACCAGUGGCGAAGGCGGCGACCUGGGCAGAUACUGACGCUGAGGUGCGAAAGCGUGGGGAGCAAACAGG
rnacentral:rRNA from 1 species